GACGAACGCUGGCGGCGUGCUUAACACAUGCAAGUCGAGCGGUAAGGCCCUUUCGGGGGUACACGAGCGGCGAACGGGUGAGUAACACGUGGGUGACCUGCCCUCAGCUCUGGGAUAAGCCUGGGAAACCGGGUCUAAUACUGGAUAUGACUCCAUGACGCAUGUUGUGGGGUGGAAAGCCUUGUGCGGCUGAGGAUGGGCCCGCGGCCUAUCAGCUUGUUGGUGGGGUGAUGGCCUACCAAGGCGACGACGGGUAGCCGGCCUGAGAGGGCGACCGGCCGCACUGGGACUGAGACACGGCCCAGACUCCUACGGGAGGCAGCAGUGGGGAAUCUUGCGCAAUGGGCGAAAGCCUGACGCAGCGACGCCGCGUGAGGGAUGACGGCCU
rnacentral:rRNA from 1 species